CCUGGCGGCGAUAGCGCGGUGGUCCCACCUGACCCCAUGCCGAACUCAGAAGUGAAACGCCGUAGCGCCGAUGGUAGUGUGGGGUCUCCCCAUGUGAGAGUAGGGAACUGC
rnacentral:rRNA from 1 species